rnacentral:rRNA from 1 species
CCCGACUGCUAUUUGGGUGAGAAUAAGCCAUGCGAGUCGAAUGGGAUACCUAAAUUUCCCAUGGCAAACUGCUCAAUAACACAUGAUCAACUUACCCUACAGAGAAAAAUAACCUCGGGAAACUGAGGAUAAUGUUUCAUAGUUGAAAAGGCUUGGAAAAGUUUUUCAAUCAAAGGGAUAAAAAAAAUGGUUUUUAUCUGCUAUAGGAUAGGAUCGUGGUCGAUUAUGGUUGUUGGUGAGGUGACGGCUCACCAAGCCGAUAAUCGAUAGGGGCCGUGAGAGCGGGAGCCCCGAGAUGGGUACUGAGACAGCGACCCAGGCCUUACGAGGCGCAGCAGGCGCGAAAAUUCUGCAAUACACGAAAGUGUGACAGAGUUACCCAAAGUGUUCAAUCUUGAACUGUGGUAGGUGAGUAAUGUCCCCUACUAGAAAGGAGAGGGCAAGGCUGGUGCCAGCCGCCGCGGUAAAACCAGCUCUUCAAGUGGUCGGGAUAAUUAUUGGGCUUAAAGUGUCCGUAGCUGGUUUAGUAAGUUCCUGGUAAAAUCAGGUAGCUUAACUAUCUGCAUGCUAGGAAUACUGCUAUACUAGAGGGCGGGAGAGGUCUGAGGUACUACAGGGGUAGGGGUGAAAUCUUAUAAUCCUUGUAGGACCACCAGUGGCGAAGGCGUCAGACUGGAACGCGCCUGACAGUGAGGGACGAAAGCCAGGGGAGCGAACCGGAUUAGAUACCCGGGUAGUCCUGGCCGUAAACGAUGCAUACUAGGUGAUGGCGUGGCCAUGAGCCGUGUCAGUGCCGUAGGGAAACCGUUAAGUGUGCCGCCUGGGAAGUACGGUCGCAAGGCUAAAACUUAAAGGAAUUGGCGGGGGAGCACCACAAGGGGUGAAGCCUGCGGUUC